rnacentral:rRNA from 1 species
UACGUAGGGUGCAAGCGUUAAUCGGAAUUACUGGGCGUAAAGCGUGCGCAGGCGGUUAUGUAAGACAGGUGUGAAAUCCCCGGGCUUAACCUGGGAACUGCAUUUGUGACUGCAUGGCUAGAGUUUGGCAGAGGGGGGUAGAAUUCCACGUGUAGCAGUGAAAUGCGUAGAUAUGUGGAGGAACACCGGUGGCGAAGGCAGCCCCCUGGGUCAAGACUGACGCUCAGGCACGAAAGCGUGGGGAGCAAACAGG